AGUCGAUCGUUCAGAUUUGAACGCUAUGGGAUGUUUACACAUGCAAGUCGAACGGCAGCACGGCACUGGGUCUGGUGGCGAGGGCGAAACGGGUGAGUAAUGUAUCGGAACGUGCCUAGUAGGGGGAGGAACACGCGAAAGCGUAGCUAAUACCGCACACACCUUCGGGAAAGCGGGGACCUUUCGCCCAAUUAGGAGCGGUUGAUAUCGGAUUAGCUAGUUGGUGGGGUAACGGCUCACCAAGGCGACGAUCCGUAGCUAUUGAGAGGACGACCAGCCACACUGGGACUGAGACACGGCCGAUCACGGAGGCAGCAGUGGGGAAUUUUGGACAAUGGGGAAACCCUGGUCCAGCCAUCCCGCGUGGUGGGUGAUGAAGGCCUUUCGGGUUGUAAAGCACUUUGGCAGGAAAGAAACGGCAUCGAGAAUACCCCCGUGCAACUGACGGUACCUGCAGAAUAAGCACCGGCUAACUACGCCAGCAGCCGCGGUAAUACGUAGGGGUGCAAGCGUUAAUCGGAAUUACUGGGCGUAAAGCGUGCGCAGGCGGUUCGGAAAGAAAGAUGUGAAAUCCCAGAGCUUAACUUUGGAACUGCAUUUUUAACUACUGAGCUAGAGUGUGUCAGAGGAGGUGGAAUUCCGCGUAGCGCAGUGAAAUGCAGAUAUGCGGAGUAGCCACCGAUGGCGAAGGCAGCCUCCUGGGAUAACACUGACGCUCAUGCACGAAAGGUGGGACAAACAGGAUUAGAGAUAAUUGGUAGUCCACGCCCUAAACGAUGUCAACUAGCCGUUGGGGCCUCGGGCCGUAUAGCGCAGCUAACGCGUGAAGUUGACCGCCUGGGGAGUACGGUCGCAAGAUUAAACUCAAAAGGAAUUGACGGGGACUCCGCACAAGCGGUGGAUGAUGUGGAUUAAUUCGAUGCAACGAAAACCUUACCUACCCUUGACAUGUCUGGAAUCCCGAAGAGAUUGGAGUGCUCGGUAAGAGAACCGGAACACAGGUGUUGCAUGGCUGUCGUCAGCUCGUGUCGUGAGCUGUUAUCCCGCACCAGAGCGCAACCUUUGUCAUUAGUUGUUACUGAAAGUGGCACUCUAUCAGAGAUCGCUGGUGACAAACCGAGGAAGGUGGGGAUGACGUCAAGUCCUCACGGCCCUUGCGUAGGGCUUCACACGUCAUACAAUGGUCGGGACAGAGGAUGCUAACCCGAGGGGGAGCCAACUCUGAAACCCGAUCACCAGUCCGGAUCGGGUAGUCUGCAACUCGACUGUAGUAAGAAGUCGGAAUUUGCUAGUAAUCGCGGAUCAGCAUGUCGCGGUGAAUACGUUCCCGGGUCUUGUACACACCGCCCGUCACACCAUGGGAGUGGGUUUUACCAGAAGUAGUUAGCCUAACCUGUAAGAGGGCGAUUUACCACGGUAGGAUUCAUGACUGGGGUGAAGUCGUAACAAGGUAGUUUCAGAA
rnacentral:rRNA from 1 species